rnacentral:rRNA from 1 species
UACGGGGGGGGCAAGCGUUGUUCGGAAUUACUGGGCGUAAAGGGCGCGUAGGCGGUUUGCUAAGUUGGAUGUGAAAACUCUGGGCUUAACCCAGAGCCUGCAUCCAAAACUGGCAAACUUGAGUACUGGAGGGGAAAGCGGAAUUCCUGGUGUAGCGGUGAAAUGCGUAGAUAUCAGGAGGAACACCGGUGGCGAAGGCGGCUUUCUGGACAGUAACUGACGCUGAGGCGCGAAAGCGAGAGGAGCAAACAGG